rnacentral:rRNA from 1 species
AUUGAACGCUGGCGGCAUGCCUUACACAUGCAAGUCGAACGGUAACGCGGGGCAACCUGGCGACGAGUGGCGAACGGGUGAGUAAUGUAUCGGAACGUGCCCAGUUGUGGGGGAUAACUGCUCGAAAGAGCAGCUAAUACCGCAUACGACCUGAGGGUGAAAGCGGGGGAUCGCAAGACCUCGCGCAAUUGGAGCGGCCGAUAUCAGAUUAGGUAGUUGGUGGGGUAAAGGGUCACCAAGCCAACGAUCUGUAGCUGGUCUGAGAGGACGACCAGCCACACUGAGACUGAGACACGGCCCAAACUCCUACGGGAGGCAGCAGUGGGGAAUUUUGGACAAUGGACGCAAGUCUGAUCCAGCCAUGCCGCGUGCGGGAAGAAGGCCUUCGGGUUGUAAACCGCUUUUGUCAGGGAAGAAACGCUCCGAGAUAAUACCUUGGGGUAAUGACGGUACCUGAAGAAUAAGCACCGGCUAACUACGUGCCAGCCGCCGUAGUAAGAC